rnacentral:rRNA from 1 species
GGUUAAGCGACUAAGCGUACACGGUGGAUGCCCUGGCAGUCAGAGGCGAUGAAGGACGUGCUAAUCUGCGAUAAGCGUCGGUAAGGUGAUAUGAACCGUUAUAACCGGCGAUUUCCGAAUGGGGAAACCCAGUGUGAUUCGUCACACUAUCAUUAACUGAAUCCAUAGGUUAAUGAGGCGAACCGGGGGAACUGAAACAUCUAAGUACCCCGAGGAAAAGAAAUCAACCGAGAUUCCCCCAGUAGCGGCGAGCGGACGGGGAGCAGCCCAGAGCCUGAAUCAGUGUGUGUGUUAGUGGAAGCGUCUGGAAAGGCGUGCGAUACAGGGUGACAGCCCCGUACACAAAAAUGCACAUAUUGUGAGCUUGAUGAGUAGGGCGGGACACGUGGUAUCCUGUCUGAAUAUGGGGGGACCAUCCUCCAAGGCUAAAUACUCCUGACUGACCGAUAGUGAACCAGUACCGUGAGGGAAAGGCGAAAAGAACCCCGGCGAGGGGAGUGAAAAAGAACCUGAAACCGUGUACGUACAAGCAGUGGGAGCACGCUUAGGCGUGUGACUGCGUACCUUUUGUAUAAUGGGUCAGCGACUUAUAUUCUGUAGCAAGGUUAACCGAAUAGGGGAGCCGAAGGGAAACCGAGUCUUAACUGGGCGUUAAGUUGCAGGGUAUAGACCCGAAACCCGGUGAUCUAGCCAUGGGCAGGUUGAAGGUUGGGUAACACUAACUGGAGGACCGAACCGACUAAUGUUGAAAAAUUAGCGGAUGACUUGUGGCUGGGGGUGAAAGGCCAAUCAAACCGGGAGAUAGCUGGUUCUCCCCGAAAGCUAUUUAGGUAGCGCCUCGUGAAUUCAUCUCCGGGGGUAGAGCACUGUUUCGGCAAGGGGGUCAUCCCGACUUACCAACCCGAUGCAAACUGCGAAUACCGAAGAAUGUUAUCACGGGAGACACACGGCGGGUGCUAACGUCCGUCGUGAAGAGGGAAACAACCCAGACCGCCAGCUAAGGUCCCAAAGUCAUGGUUAAGUGGGAAACGAUGUGGGAAGGCCCAGACAGCCAGGAUGUUGGCUUAGAAGCAGCCAUCAUUUAAAGAAAGCGUAAUAGCUCACUGGUCGAGUCGGCCUGCGCGGAAGAUGUAACGGGGCUAAACCAUGCACCGAAGCUGCGGCAGCGACGCUUAUGCGUUGUUGGGUAGGGGAGCGUUCUGUAAGCCUGCGAAGGUGUGCUGUGAGGCAUGCUGGAGGUAUCAGAAGUGCGAAUGCUGACAUAAGUAACGAUAAAGCGGGUGAAAAGCCCGCUCGCCGGAAGACCAAGGGUUCCUGUCCAACGUUAAUCGGGGCAGGGUGAGUCGACCCCUAAGGCGAGGCCGAAAGGCGUAGUCGAUGGGAAACAGGUUAAUAUUCCUGUACUUGGUGUUACUGCGAAGGGGGGACGGAGAAGGCUAUGUUGGCCGGGCGACGGUUGUCCCGGUUUAAGCGUGUAGGCUGGUUUUCCAGGCAAAUCCGGAAAAUCAAGGCUGAGGCGUGAUGACGAGGCACUACGGUGCUGAAGCAACAAAUGCCCUGCUUCCAGGAAAAGCCUCUAAGCAUCAGGUAACAUCAAAUCGUACCCCAAACCGACACAGGUGGUCAGGUAGAGAAUACCAAGGCGCUUGAGAGAACUCGGGUGAAGGAACUAGGCAAAAUGGUGCCGUAACUUCGGGAGAAGGCACGCUGAUAUGUAGGUGAAGUCCCUCGCGGAUGGAGCUGAAAUCAGUCGAAGAUACCAGCUGGCUGCAACUGUUUAUUAAAAACACAGCACUGUGCAAACACGAAAGUGGACGUAUACGGUGUGACGCCUGCCCGGUGCCGGAAGGUUAAUUGAUGGGGUCAGCGCAAGCGAAGCUCUUGAUCGAAGCCCCGGUAAACGGCGGCCGUAACUAUAACGGUCCUAAGGUAGCGAAAUUCCUUGUCGGGUAAGUUCCGACCUGCACGAAUGGCGUAAUGAUGGCCAGGCUGUCUCCACCCGAGACUCAGUGAAAUUGAACUCGCUGUGAAGAUGCAGUGUACCCGCGGCAAGACGGAAAGACCCCGUGAACCUUUACUAUAGCUUGACACUGAACAUUGAGCCUUGAUGUGUAGGAUAGGUGGGAGGCUUUGAAGUGUGGACGCCAGUCUGCAUGGAGUCGACCUUGAAAUACCACCCUUUAAUGUUUGAUGUUCUAACGUGGACCCGUGAUCCGGGUUGCGGACAGUGUCUGGUGGGUAGUUUGACUGGGGCGGUCUCCUCCUAAAGAGUAACGGAGGAGCACGAAGGUUGGCUAAUCCUGGUCGGACAUCAGGAGGUUAGUGCAAUGGCAUAAGCCAGCUUGACUGCGAGCGUGACGGCGCGAGCAGGUGCGAAAGCAGGUCAUAGUGAUCCGGUGGUUCUGAAUGGAAGGGCCAUCGCUCAACGGAUAAAAGGUACUCCGGGGAUAACAGGCUGAUACCGCCCAAGAGUUCAUAUCGACGGCGGUGUUUGGCACCUCGAUGUCGGCUCAUCACAUCCUGGGGCUGAAGUAGGUCCCAAGGGUAUGGCUGUUCGCCAUUUAAAGUGGUACGCGAGCUGGGUUUAGAACGUCGUGAGACAGUUCGGUCCCUAUCUGCCGUGGGCGCUGGAGAACUGAGGGGGGCUGCUCCUAGUACGAGAGGACCGGAGUGGACGCAUCACUGGUGUUCGGGUUGUCAUGCCAAUGGCACUGCCCGGUAGCUAAAUGCGGAAGAGAUAAGUGCUGAAAGCAUCUAAGCACGAAACUUGCCCCGAGAUGAGUUCUCCCUGACCCUUUAAGGGUCCUGAAGGAACGUUGAAGACGACGACGUUGAUAGGCCGGGUGUGUAAGCGCAGCGAUGCGUUGAGCUAACCGGUACUAAUGAACCGUGAGGCUUAACCUU